AAUAGCAAUUCCGGUUGAUCCUGCCGGAGGCCACUGCUAUCGGGGUCCGACUAAGCCAUGCGAGUCAAGGGGGUGUCCCUCUGGGACACCACCGGCGGACGGCUCAGUAACACGUCGGUAACCUACCCUCGGGAGGGGGAUAACCCCGGGAAACUGGGGCUAAUCCCCCAUAGGCCUGAGGUACUGGAAGGUCCUCAGGCCGAAAGGGGCUCUGCCCGCCCGAGGAUGGGCCGGCGGCCGAUUAGGUAGUUGGUGGGGUAACGGCCCACCAAGCCGAAGAUCGGUACGGGCUGUGAGAGCAGGAGCCCGGAGAUGGACACUGAGACACGGGUCCAGGCCCUACGGGGCGCAGCAGGCGCGAAACCUCCGCAAUGCGGGAAACCGCGACGGGGGGACCCCGAGUGCCGUGGCAUCGCCACGGCUUUUCCGGAGUGUAAAAAGCUCCGGGAAUAAGGGCUGGGCAAGGCCGGUGGCAGCCGCCGCGGUAAUACCGGCGGCCCGAGUGGUGGCCGCUAUUAUUGGGCCUAAAGCGUCCGUAGCCGGGCCCGUAAGUCCCUGGCGAAAUCCCACGGCUCAACCGUGGGGCUUGCUGGGGAUACUGCGGGCCUUGGGACCGGGAGAGGCGGGGGGUACCCCUGGGGUAGGGGUGAAAUCCUAUAAUCCCAGGGGGACCGCCAGUGGCGAAGGCGCCCCGCUGGAACGGGUCCGACGGUGAGGGACGAAGGCCAGGGGAGCAAACCGGAUUAGAUACCCGGGUAGUCCUGGCUGUAAAGGAUGCCCCCUAGGUGUCGGGUGAGCAACGGGCUCGCCCGGUGCCGUAGGGAAGCCGUUAAGCCCGCCGCCUGGGGAGUACGGCCGCAAGGCUGAAACUUAAAGGAAUUGGCGGGGGAGCACUACAAG
rnacentral:rRNA from 1 species